rnacentral:siRNA from 1 species
CUUCGGCGCAAGUGAAAUACC